rnacentral:snRNA from 1 species
UUGUUUUUGUGGCACAUAUACUAAAAUUGAAAGGAUACAGAGAAGAUUAGCAUGGUCCCUGUGCAAGAAUGGCAUGCAAAUUCAUGAAGCGUUCCAUAUUUUU